rnacentral:rRNA from 1 species
GUAAGGAAUAUUGGACAAUGGACGCAAGUCUGAUCCAGCCAUGCCGCGUGAAGGAUUAAGGUCCUCUGGAUUGUAAACUUCUUUUAUAAGGGACGAAAAAAGGCUUUUCUAAGUCGUCUGACGGUACCUUAUGAAUAAGCACCGGCUAACUCCGUGCCAGCAGCCGCGGUAAUACGGAGGGUGCAAGCGUUAUCCGGAUUCACUGGGUUUAAAGGGUGCGUAGGCGGGCAGGUAAGUCAGUGGUGAAAUCCUAGAGCUUAACUCUAGAACUGCCAUUGAUACUAUCUGUCUUGAAUACUGUGGAGGUAAGCGGAAUAUGUCAUGUAGCGGUGAAAUGCUUAGAUAUGACAUAGAACACCUAUUGCGAAGGCAGCUUACUACGCAUAUAUUGACGCUGAGGCACGAAAGCGUGGGGAUCAAACAGGAUUAGAAACCCUGGUAGUCC